UGAACGCUGGCGGCAGGCCUAACACAUGCAAGUCGAGCGGAUGAAAGGAGCUUGCUCCUGGAUUCAGCGGCGGACGGGUGAGUAAUGCCUAGGAAUCUGCCUGGUAGUGGGGGACAACGUUUCGAAAGGAACGCUAAUACCGCAUACGUCCUACGGGAGAAAGCAGGGGACCUUCGGGCCUUGCGCUAUCAGAUGAGCCUAGGUCGGAUUAGCUAGUUGGUGAGGUAAUGGCUCACCAAGGCGACGAUCCAUAGCUGGUCUGAGAGGAUGAUCAGCCACACUGGGACUGAGACACGGCCCAGACUCCUACGGGAGGCAGCAGUGGGGAAUAUUGGACAAUGGGCGCAAGCCUGAUCCAGCAAUGCCGCGUGUGUGAAGAAGGUCUUCGGAUUGUAAAGCACUUUAAGUUGGAGGAAGGGCAGUUACCUAAUACGUAUCUGUUUUGACGUUACC
rnacentral:rRNA from 1 species